rnacentral:rRNA from 1 species
UACGAAGGGGGCUAGCGUUGCUCGGAAUCACUGGGCGUAAAGGGUGCGUAGGCGGCGCGGUAAGUCGGGUGUGAAAUCUCGGAGCUUAACUCCGAAACUGCAUUCGAUACUGCCGUGCUUGAGGACUGGAGAGGAGACUGGAAUUUACGGUGUAGCGGUGAAAUGCGUAGAUAUUGUAAGGAAGACCAGUGGCGAAGGCGGGUCUCUGGACAGUUCCUGACGCUGAGGCACGAAGGCCAGGGGAGCAAACGGG